UGGGAUUAGAUACCCCACUAUGCUUAGCCCUUAAACCUAGAUGAUAAACUUACAAAACCCAUCCGCCAGGGUACUACGAGCGCUAGCUUAAAACCUAAAGGACUUGACGGUGUCUCAAAUCCCCCUAGAGGAGCCUGUUUAAGAACCGAUAAUCCCCGUUAAACCUCACCAUCUUUUGUUUAUCAGCCUAUAUACCGCCGUCGCAAGCUUACCCUAUGAAGGAUACAACAGUAAGCAAAAUGGGUAUAACCCAAAACGUCAGGUCGAGGUGUAGCCUAUAAGAUGGAUAAAAUGGGCUACAUUUUCUAUUAUAGAAUACCACGAACGAUUUUUAUGAAACUAAAAUCUGAAGGUGGAUUUAGUAGUAAAAAAAUAAAGAGUACUUUUUUGAAACCUGGCCACUGAGACGCGUACACACCGCCCGUCA
rnacentral:rRNA from 1 species